UGAAUGAUGGGCAGGUUACUACUGUUGG
rnacentral:piRNA from 1 species